UCAGAGGUUUUGUUUCCUCUCUGCCAUGUCGAGAACAGCAGACCCCUGCGAGAGGUCUACGUGGAAAUAGUCGUUGAGGAUAAACAACUGUUCACGGCUGACAGCCAUCACCGAUCAGCCCCGACAGGGCUCCCUUCUCCUACUUCCUGGAAUUGUAUUCCUUGGCUGGGAGAGGAGCAGAUGGUAAAUCGGAUGAGUCACCAGCUCCUCAACCUCCCACUUGCAGAAGCCAGUGAGAGUGGAGUUGCAGAAGCCAGUGAGAGCAGAGCUAACUGGACUCUGCCCUGAGGGAGAAGCAGAAUGUAGGCAAAAUAAAGACAUUCUCAGAUGAAGAAAAGCUAAGAGAAUAUGCCACUGUGAGUCCUGCUCUAAAAAGAAGUUCUCUAGAGAGAAAGUAAAUACCAGAAGGAAAUAUGAAAUUUUACAAAUGAAAGAAAAGAAAGAAAAAUGGCCCCAGAUGGAUCCAAUCACUAAAGAGAUUUGGAGGAUGUAAAUUAGCCAGAGGAAGGGGAGGAAGUGUUUCUGACAGAACAGCAUGUACAAAAGGCAGGAAGUGAGACAAAGACCCGGCAGGAUCAGAAAAAGAAAGGCACCCUUCCAGAAGAUGCUUACUGGCUCAGAACAGGAAGGCCUGCAUGAAAUUUAUACUUGCAGUUUUAUGGUCAUCUUCAGCAGGAGGGUUGAUCUGAAAUACCCAGGCUGCCAUGGCUAGCAACUGGACUCCUUAAUAUUCUUAUAUGAAUGUUCUCCACAAAAUGUGGCAUUUCAUAGAUACACUUGUACCAUGGACAUGUUUCAAAAGAGAAGUAUGAUCCUAGGAUAAAUAAAUAGCAGUGUUCCAUGUAAAAAGU